UGCUGGGCCCAUAACUCGGUGGAUGAGUUAGAACGGUCCCUGUCAGGCCUCCCUUAGCCCUUAGCCCUUAGCCCUUAUCACUCCAUGCUUGUGUUUGGCCUCUGACCGCUAAGAUACCACCAUCAUGUGUUCAAGGUCCUCCUCAGACUCAGCCAGCCACACCAUGCCACACCCUCCUACCUGCACACCCAUCCCUGGAAGGCAGUAUAGUAAGACAUCAUCCCCCACAUUCAUGAUUCCCAAAGGGUUUACUGGAGUUUCGUGGGUUAGGAAAAGGAGGGGACUCUUUUUGCCCCCAGAUGAGGUGAGCUCUUCAGACACCCUCUUUCCCCUUCCCCUCCUCCCUCCCUCCCUUCCCUCCCUCCCUCCCUCCCUCCCUCCCUCCCUCCCUCCCUCCCUUCCGUCCCUCCCUCCCUCCCUCCCUCAUCUCUCUCCGAAGUUUGCAAGCUGCAGCCUAAGGGUUAGGGGGAGUUGAGGAAAGCCAUUGAAUGGAGGGAAGCUCCAGGCUCUGACUUUAACAGAAAGCUUUCUGCAUUUGAAUGAAGCGAUUGAAUGAGGCCCAUUAGAAUGGAUCACCCUGAACGUCCCAUCAGCCGCCCCAGCCCCAGCCCCAGCCCCCCCAUCCCCCCCCAACUGAAGUCCUCUGGUCGAAUUGGAACAGUAGGCUGGGGGGGGGGGGGGGGGCUGUCCAUCCUAAGUUGGUAACUAGGCCCCUGGUCCAUAGGGAAAAAAUCACGCACGGGUACAGAUGAGUUGGUAGCUCAGGCAAAGUGGUCGAAGUGUUGGCAAGGUUUCCGUGGAUGAGGGGAGAUUUGUUCUGGGACCACCCUCCCAUAUACAUCUCUGGCUGAGAAGAGGACAGGGGAGCCCUGUGGGGGUGGGGGUGGGGGUGGGGGUGGGGGGGCGGGACCCAGAUCUGGAGCUCGGAGUGGACUAUAGCCGCUGCCUGCCCGGGUGUGUGUGCCUGGGGGGCGGGGGGGGGGGCGCUGAGGGAUAAGGGCUGAGGGUGGUGGGGUCUGCUCACGCUGACUCCUGCAACUCAAUUCAUCCUGGGAACCUUCUGUUGUUUCUGCUGAGGUGCCAGGUGCUGUGAUGACCAAAGCUAAACUCCUCUCUUUGCCUAGUUCUUAAAAGGCCUGAUCCUCCUGUUAUCUUGUUAAAUGGACCGACCCCUGCACCCUCCCAUCCUGCCAGACCCCUUGUGCAAAUACUUCCACUUGAAGAGUUCUUUCUCUGAAUCUAGAAAAUAAACAGACAACACCCACCAGCCACACCGACCCCAUUGCCACAAAUACCUAGCAAAGACAAAUCUAGCUGGUCUCCUUCUGCCUCAAGGCACUUUAGAGAGUCACUCUCUCAGACACACCUUAGGCUCAAUUACAGGCUGCUGUCUCCCUUUCUCUGGCACAAUUCCAUCCCUGGAGGAGCCCCAUAUCGCAUCUGCAGCCGUGAGCUGGAGACAGUAUGCUCAAGUGACCGGGUGGUAGCACCGUAACUUUGAAAUGACCUAUACCCCAAGUCAUCCAUGAACAUGGUCCCUGGAAAUCUUUGACAUUCACGUGCCUCUGAUGAAAUCCUUGCUUUGGAAACUCCAGCACCCAUAGCCAAUCUUGUCCAUGUUCUGCUAACCUUUGCUCGCCCUCUGUUCGCCUGAUAUCUUGCCUGAUUGUUUACAGAGAAAUUAGAUCCCAUCCAGCAAGAGCUGAAUCCGAGUCCUCUGCUCACCCCACGACGGAAAAGAAUAUGCACAGGCCUGCAUCCCUCUUCUCCUUCUCCACCAUGUCGGAAGAAAAGAUUUUACUGGACAGAGACACAGCGAGAGAGGGAACGCAAGCAGAGGGAGUGGGAGAGGGAGAAGCGGGCUUCCCGCCGAGCAGGGAGCCCGAUGCGGGGCUCGAUUAUCGGGACCCUGGCACCCUGGCACCCUGGCACCCUGGGAUCAUGACCUGAGCCGAAGGCAGACGCUUAAUGACUGAGCCACCCAGUCGCCCCCCACUUUCCACCUUGACCGUGCCUAGUCGUCCACCCGUCUAGUCCUCUUGGCCGCGCCUGGUCUUGCCCUCGAAUGUGUUCGUCUGGAGCACAGAGCUAGAUCCAGAGAAUGAGAGAAUGAGAUCGAUGGACCCACGGACGGAAAUCAAGUUUCUCUUUCCCUGAAAUGACCUAGGACACUCCUCUUCUAGUCAGCUCCCAUCCUGCUCCCCCACCCCCAACAACCUCUCAUCGGACCUUCCCCUUUUGCCACCAGAAAGCUUUUCCACUCCUCCGCCUGGCCUGCGUUUGCUUGGCGUCUCUGCCAGACCCAGGCGGUGGUGGCCGACCGCAGACUCUCUUGCCCUCAAGAAAUGAUUCCCGCUCUCAUGUGGGUGAUCUUUUAUCUCCACAGAGGUGGCUCACAAAGCUGCACAACCUUCACUGCAAUUUCCAGAACAUUUCCAUCACCGCCAAAAGAAAUAAACACCUCUACUACCCCUCCCCCCUUCCUGUCCGCGCCUCGCCCCCACCCGCCGUCACCGUCGCCCUCGCCGUCACCGUCGCCCUCGCCCUCACCCGGGCUCUCUUCACUGUUCUCCCCCAACAGGGAGUAGAAAGGGAAGUUAGAGGGAACAUUCUUCCUCCCCUACACCUGCUGAACGCACAUGGACACACACCGCAACCCUCCCCGCCAGGCGCGCGCACCCACCCACCCCCGCCCCGCCAAGCCCCGCCCCGCCCCGCCACGCCACGCCACGCCCCCCAUCCCGGCCUUACGUGUACCUUACGUACCUCUGCACGGACUCGAGAUUUGGCAAUAGCCUUGAUUGCCCUGCAAUGUUUCCAAACCUCGGCGCUCCCCAACCUUCCCCACCCCGACCCCCGCCCC